GACAGAGGGUGCAAACGUUGUUCGGAAUUACUGGGCGUAAAGCGAGUGUAGGCGGCCUUGUAAGUCGGAUGUGAAAGCCCUGGGCUCAACCCAGGAAGUGCAUUCGAUACUGCGAGGCUUGAGUAUCGGAGAGGUUGGUGGAAUUCUCGGUGUAGAGGUGAAAUUCGUAGAUAUCGAGAGGAACACCGGUGGCGAAGGCGGCCAACUGGACGAAUACUGACGCUGAGACUCGAAAGCGUGGGGAGCAAACAGG
rnacentral:rRNA from 1 species